GUCAGAACGACUCUCGGCAACGGAUAUCUCGGCUCUCGCAUCGAUGAAGAACGUAGCGAAAUGCGAUACUUGGUGUGAAUUGCAGAAUCCCGUGAACCAUCGAGUCUUUGAACGCAAGUUGCGCCCGAAGCCUUCGGGCCGAGGGCACGCCUGCCUGGGCGUCACGCAUCGCGUCGC
rnacentral:rRNA from 1 species